rnacentral:misc_RNA from 1 species
GAAACAUGAACCUCGUGAAGGGUUGUUGCUGGCCUCUAGAGGUAUGUGCACGCCUGGAUCGUUCAUCCUCCCUUUCUUACACCUGUGCACAACCUGUAGCUUGGGAUGAUCACGGAGUGUGCUGCUUUUGUAGUCACUUCGAAUGCCCUCUCUAUGAACGCUUUUAUAUACACCUUUAUAAAGUCUUGUAGAAUGUUGAUAAGCGUGUAACAGCGCGAAAAUAAUACAACUUUCAGCAACGGAUCUCUUGGCUCU